ACUGAGACAGGUGCUGCAUGGCUGUCGUCAGCUCGUGUUGUGAAAUGUUGGGUUAAGUCCCGUAACGAGCGCAACCCUUGUCCUUAGUUACCAUCAUUAAGUUGGGGACUCUAAGGAGACUGCCGGUGACAAACCGGAGGAAGGCGGGGACGACGUCAAGUCAUCAUGGCCCUUACGAGUAGGGCUACACACGUGCUACAAUGGCGUAUACAAAGGGUUGCCAAGCCGCGAGGUGGAGCUAAUCUCAUAAAGUACGUCGUAGUCCGGAUUGGAGUNUGCAACUCGACUCCAUGAAGUCGGAAUCGCUAGUAAUCGUGAAUCAGAAUGUCACGGUGAAUACGUUCCCGGGCCUUGUACACACCGCCCGUCACACCAUGGGAGUGGGUUGCUCCAGAAGUAGAUAGCUUAACCUUCGGGAGGGCCGUUUACCACGGAGUGAUUCAUGACUGGGGUGAAGUCAR
rnacentral:rRNA from 1 species